AAACUUGAGAGUUUGAUCCUGGCUCAGAAUGAACGCUGGCGGCGUGCCUAACACAUGCAAGUCGGAUGUGCCGCAAGGUGCAUGGCAGACGGGUGAGUAACGCGUGGGGAAUCUACCUUUUAGUGGGGAAUAACGCUCCGAAAGGAGUGGUAAUACCGCAUGAGACCGCUUGCUGGGAUGCGAGUGGUGAAACCUGGGGACCGAAAGGCCUGGGGCUAAGAGAGGAUCCUGCGUCUGAUUAGCUAGUUGGCGGGGUAAUGGCCCACCAAGGCGACGAUCAGUAGCCGGCCUGAGAGGGUGAUCGGCCACACUGGAACUGAGACACGGUCCAGACUCCUACGGGAGGCAGCAGUGGGGAAUUUUGGACAAUGGGCGCAAGCCUGAUCCAGCAAUGCCGCGUGCAGGAUGAAGGCCUUCGGGUUGUAAACUGCUUUUGUACGGAAC
rnacentral:rRNA from 1 species